rnacentral:tRNA from 1 species
GCGAGAGUGGCGGAAUUGGCAGACGCGCUAGACUUAGGAUCUAGUAUCCUUUGGAUGUGGGGGUUCGAGUCCCCCCUUUCGCACCA